rnacentral:rRNA from 1 species
UUGGGUUAAGUCCCGCAACGAGCGCAACCCUUGUCUUUAGUUGCCAUCAUUAAAGUUGGGCACUCUAAAGAGACUGCCGGUGUCAAACCGGAGGAAGGUGGGAUGACGUCAAGUCCUCAUGGCCUUUACGACCAGGGCUACACACGUACUACAAUGGCAGGUACAAAGGGCAGCCACUUAGCGAUAAGGCGCGAAUCCCAUAAAACCUGUCUCAGUCCGGAUUGGGGGUCUGCAACUCGACUCCAUGAAGUUGGAAUCGCUAGUAAUCGCAGAUCAGCACGCUGCGGUGAAUACGCUCCCGGGCCUU